rnacentral:rRNA from 1 species
UACGAAGGGGGCUAGCGUUGCUCGGAAUUACUGGGCGUAAAGCGCACGUAGGCGGCUCUUUAAGUGCGGGGGGUGAAAUCCUGGAGCUCAACUCCAGAACUGCCUUCGAUACUGUAGAGCUUGAGUUCGGGAGAGGUGAGUGGAACUGCGAGUGUAGAGGUGAAAUUCGUAGAUAUUCGCAAGAACACCAGUGGCGAAGGCGGCUCACUGGCCCGAUACUGACGCUGAGGUGCGAAAGCGUGGGGAGCAAACAGG